AAUUUAUUCUGUUGCUCAUGGCAGACGAGGUAGGAACACGUAGGUACGUACCCCAAAGUCAAGGAUAAUCCGGUGAAAAUCGGGAUAAUACUUGAUAGUCUCUUCGGAGUAAAGAUUUAUCGCUUUGGGAACGGCCUGCGUUCCAUCAGCUUGAUGGUAAGGUAACGGCUUACCAUGGCUACGACGGAUUGGGGAGGUGAGAGCCUGACCCCCACCGACGGAACUGAGACACGGUCCGU
rnacentral:rRNA from 1 species